ACAGAGGGGGCAAGCGUUGUUCGGAAUUACUGGGCGUAAAGGGCGCGUAGGCGGCCACCUAAGUCAGACGUGAAAUCCCUCGGCUCAACCGGGGAACUGCGUCUGAUACUGGGUGGCUUGAAUCCGGGAGAGGGAUGCGGAAUUCCAGGUGUAGCGGUGAAAUGCGUAGAUAUCUGGAGGAACACCGGUGGCGAAGGCGGCGAUCUGGGUCGAUACUGACGCUGAGGUGCGAAAGCGUGGGGAGCAAACAGGA
rnacentral:rRNA from 1 species